GUGACGACCCCAAAUCCAGGUACUUGAAACCCGAACUCGGUUCUCCACGAUACCAUUUCUUUAAGCUGAAUAAUACUAAAUAAUAAUGCAUUCGAACUUAAUUUACAUACAUCAAAGUUUACUUCCCUAGGUACGUGACCUUCAAAUACAUUCCUUACAAUACUUGAAUAGAUACCAAUACAACUAUAACCAUUAACUCAUAAUACACACUUAUUCGAUCAGCUUUCCUUUUCCUUUGUUCGUGCUUGAGCCUUCAGGUUGCUCAUACAUAACUGAAAACAUUUAAUUUAAGCAAGGAUGAGCAUUUAAGUGCCCAACAAGUAAUAACAAUUAUAUAUAAGCUGAAAGAGUAUAAGUAUUCUCUUUACAUAACACUUCUACAACGAAUUGAAAGUUGUGAAGGAAUCUGUACUGAUAAAAAAUUCACAUAACAACUCUCUUUCAAAUUCUUUAAAUUUGGCUCUGGCUCUACCCUUGAAUAGGGUUUAAGAAACAUACUAUGAACAUUCUUUUCAUUUUCGAAAAGGUUUAGCGGAAUUCUAUCCUCAAACCGUCAUAACUUACGGGCACGGAGGGUGAUCAGCCCCGUUGUACCCUGUAUUGAUCAAUACUACAUAACUUGAACGAAAUUCAUCGCUCACUCUAUCCGCCUUGCGCAAAAAUCUUCCCAUAUAGGGAUGUUCAUACAUGCCUGGUUCCAAACCCGAAGGUUUUUAAUCUUGCUCAACAAUAAUAUGUAAUUCAACAUAUAUAUACGGGUAAUUGACAAAGGUGUAUCAACAUGUGAACAAAUGCCAUGAUUAUCCAAGUGGGGACACUUGUAUAACCAUUUAUAGAAAUCAAUGAACAUAAUAUAUAUCUGAGCUAACAUGUCGAUAAUCAAAGAGUACAUAAUCUGUACAGGGAUAGAAUAAUUCCGAAACUUCUUACUCAUGUCCAUUGCAUAAAGGAAGUGAAAACGUAGGAUACUUGCCUGAUUCGCUGAUUACAAAUCUCAACUUAGGUUUUAUCUCUUUAUCACAACCCGAAAAUACGAAUUUCACAAACUGAAUACGCACUUCCACGCUAAAAUUUAACUAAGGAGAUCUUUAUAAAAAGUUCUCCCACAACAAAGCCUUUCUCAAAAAUUGGAGGCCU
rnacentral:lncRNA from 1 species